rnacentral:lncRNA from 1 species
GAGUUUGCAACACUCUUGCAAACAACUACAUUGCUAGUGACUAGAAUCUGUAUAUUGUUUGUCUUUCUCCUUUAGAUGGUUGAGAUCUGUUGGCAGAUUUGGUAAAGGUUAAGUCCAAUGUGUAGUAGCAUAUGAAUGAAACCUCUGAGAAUCUAACUAAUGUCAUAUGAAUACAUGCAAAUAGGACUUUGAAUAUUACAUGUACAUGUAGUUUUCAUGUGUUAUGUUGCUUUCAUCAUUUGAGAAAUGCAAGGGGUAUUGAAUCAGGCAAGAUGUUAGAAACAUGCCGAUCAAGCCAAGGCCCCCCAAAAUUAAUAAUUUUAUAUCAAAGUAUGUUGAAAAAGCUAUUGAUGAUAAUGAUUUGUGUAAAAUAGUUUACAGUUUCUCUUACCAAGCAUGUAUUAAUGCAAAAUAAAAGGAUGCCAAAAAAAUGUUCAAAAUUAUGAAUAUAAAUGUUGGAUGUUAAAAAAAAUAUGUUUAUAAAUUUUUUUGGUUCAACACCCAACCGUCACAUAAAAACUAAAAUCGUAAUAUAUUUUUAUACUAUUACGUGAGUUUAUUAACCAACAAAUGUUUUCGAAACAGGCUAGUCAUUCCCAAUAAUUUAACCUUGUCAUUUUGAUAAUAUAUGAUACAGCUUCUUUCUUCUUAGUUUUAGUGGACACUAAUCAUUUAAUGUCGAAAGAUCAUAAUAUUUUAAAAGCAAACCCCUCCUGGACUUACUUUUGCAAACCCGUCCUGGAAUUACUUUUAAACUAUAACUAAUACUAUUUUUAUAAUUAUGUAAUUGAACUAGUGAAUUUGAUGCUAUAUAUUACAUAAUUACUGAAAUCAAAACUUAUUUCAAUUAAAUAAGUAUUUUUCAGUUUACUCCCAUAUCAUAGCCUUUUUUAACAAUCAAAUUUAGUAAAACAGUUCAAAUAUCAUAUAUCUAUAUAUACAUAUAUCUAUAUAUAUAUCUAAAUCUCACUUACCAUCAACAGUUCAAGUACCAAAUAUUUUUGUCAUGAUUAUUAUACCAUCAAAAGUGUAUGAAUUAUACUUUAUCACAAGAAUAAUAGCUAAAACAAACUCAUUUUUGGAUCUUUAACAUCAUUUUCUAUUUAGUUAGAAAACUCCAAUAAUGUCGACUCAUUUCACAAAUAAAAAUAAAAUUUUGACUCGUUCGGAAAACUCUAAUUUGAAUCUGUAUUGAGAUCAUACGUUGAUUUGGAUCCUAAACAAUUUGUUCAUCAGUAACUUUUUAAUUAGAUAGUGAUAUUGAUCUGUAUCCUUGAACUUUUUAAUUUGUUCAUCAUUAGAAACAGUUCAAUUGAUCUGUAUCCUUGAACUAUUGGUGGUUCCUGUUUUUUGUUAAGUAACUUGUAACAUGUUAAUGUCUAAUAUAUAGGGGCCGUUUGGGCAAACUUAAAAAACUUGCUUAAAGUAAAGAAGUAAAUUAAAAGUGAGAAGUAAAUAAGUUAAUAAAGUGUUUGGAAAAGAAGCAUAAGUUGUGAGCGGGAAACUAACAUUUUCAACUUUUUAAAAAUGCUUAUAUUUAUUUAUACAAACAGGUCAAGAAAAACAGAAACAAAAAGACUUCUGCUAAACGAACAAGGCCAUAAACUGUAUAAACUGAUAUAUAUAUAUAGUUCUGUAGUUAUAAAGUGUUAUAAGGCUCUAUGUGUAUAUCUUUGCCGCAAAACUAAUGGUUAGCCAUUUAGCCUGCAAUGGAGUAAGCAAUAUAACUAAUUAACACUUGUGAAUGAUGUUAAGUUUCAUAUAUAACCGACUAAUGUUGUGUUUGGUUGGGGUGAAUGAUUCCGGAUGGAAUGGAAUGAAUAAUGAACUAUUUUAUGGACAAUUUUCAAGAAAUUUCAUUCAUUCCUCCAUUCCAUUCCUUACAUCAUGUGCUAAAUUUCACACAUUCAAUUUGAGAUGGAAUGCUUCAUUCUCUCUCAUUCUCAAUUUCUUCUCAAAUCUCAUCAUAGCAAUUUUGCACUUCCUCAAUUUUUUUUCAAAAUUUUCUUCCUAUCUCUAUUAGUUUCAAGUAUAUUUACUCAUUUCAUUUCAUUCCAUUCCAUUCCCCCCAACCAAACACAACAUAAUAGUCUAACUAGUUGGCCAGGCAAGCCAAACUUUGGCCAUCAGCUCUCUUGAUAUUUGUAUUUGAUAUGUUUGUCUUAUGUUCCGUGUGACUAUGACCAGUUGCGCAGAAUCAAUAGUGAUUAUUUCUCUUGCUCAAAAAAAAAAAUAGUGAUUAUUUCUCUUGUCAAUCUUAAUCUAAUGGCAUUUCAAAAAAGAAUGUAUUCUCCUUCUGCAGAAUCUGGAAUCUGGACUAAAAUUCCAGUAGCAAAGCAUAUCAAACACUCUGUUUUGAAUGUUUGACGUAUUGCACAUCAUUUUUAAUUUUGGGCAACAAUCCAAAUUUUAAGUUGAAGUUUCUCAAGUUGCUCAUGCUAAGGAGAAAGUUCAAAUCAGGUUUCAUAUGUUUGAUAAUGGUGUUUUCACAAUCAAGUCCUGCCUUUGAUGUAUAAAAUUUAAUAAAAUACAGUGCUUUCUUUUUGCUUAUAUAGUUAUAUCGUUAAAAUUAUUGCAUAAAAGUGAAAUUGAGAUAUAAAAAUUUAUAAUUCUUAAAAAAUAAUAAUAACAAUAUAUUAACAAAUAAUAAUUUAAAAUCCAAUGUCUUUUGAGGUUCUUUUUUCUUAAUAACGGGGGAAAACAUCUCCAACAUUCGACCUCCGGAGAGUUUGAAAAUUUAUUUAAUGCGAACUAUCCUAUAUCAGUUUAUAUUAUAACAAAUUUAAUAUAAUAAAAUUUUAUUAACUUUAUUCAAUUUUAAAAAAGUGUGUUCAAUAAAAGAUCAACUAAAAAAGGGUGUGAAUAAUCUCACGAAAUAUGAUAAAUUAAGACAUCACCAACUACAAAUUCAGCAAAAGAUUUAAAAAUAAAAUAUAAACAAAUUUUGUCAUGCAAAAAAGGAAAUUCCUUUGAAUAAAUAUUUUUAUAAACAAAUCAACUUUCGUGUUUUAAAUUAAAUCCAUCUAUAAGGCCCAUUGACAAAAUUGAUAAGGGGUAGUUUAUUAUUCAAUCAUUCAAAAACUCUCUCAAAUAAUGUGUUUGGAGUUGCAUAUAUAUCAACCCCAAUAUUACAAUUUAUGACUAUAAAAUAAAUAUCCAAAAUAUAAUAUAUUAAAUAUAUAAUAUAUUUUCCUAAUACCCCCCUCGAGUUGGAGCAUCUAGAUCAGAUAUGCCCAACUUGCGAAAAAUAAAAAUCAAAUUGCUUCUUCCCAAGUGCCUUUGUAAAUAUAUCUGUCAGUUGUUCAGUUGUGGGAACAUAACAUGGAGAAAUAAUACCACCUUGAAUAGCAUCUGGCACAAAGUGACAAUCUACCUCAAUAUGUUUCCUUCUCUCAUGAAAAACGGGGUUUUUGGCAAUAUGCAGUGCCGACUGACGAUCACAAAAUAGAGGAAUAGCUUUCUUGUGAUGAACACCAAGACUCAACAAUAGUGCCUUCAACCACUUUAAUUCACAGGUGAUAGAGGCCAUUGAACGAAACUCAGCUUCAGCUGAUGAACGAGAAACUGUAUGUUGUUUUUUAGUCUUCCAAGAAAUUGGAGACUGUCCAAGAAAUACCAACCAACCUGUAAGAGAUCGCCGUGUAAGUGGACAUGCAGCCCAAUUAGAGUCGCACCAACCAGUCAAAGAUAAUUCACUAUCAGAGCGAAGUAAAAUUCCUUGCCCCGGAGCUCCUUGUAAUGCUGCAUCCCAAUGCUCUUGGCGAGGAUUUUGUAAAAAUUGAGAAAGAAUAUGCACCGUGUAUGACAAAUCGGGGCGUGUAACGGCCAAAUAAAUUAAACGUCCAACAAGUCUACGAUAUUUUUCUGGAUCCUUAAUAUAUGCACCGGUAAAUGACCAAGUUUAUGAUUUUGUUGAAUUGGUAAAAUCGCAGGCUUAGCACCCAACAAACCUGCUUCGGAGAUAAUAUCAAGAGCAUAUUUUCGUUGGCAUAAUCCUUGUGGAGAUAAGAUUAGAGAUUCCUCUAUUUCAAGAAGAAUCUCUAAUCUUGACCGAAAGGGCAGGGACCUCUGAAAGCAACCUUCAUUGGAACAUGAAUUUUUUUAGGAGGGAUCAUGUCAUUGUCAUUGUCUUGGAACCAAGUUCUUAAAAUUAGUUCUUACAGAUUUGGAAGAAAUGCUGAGCUAAAAUGCAAGACAACAGAUGGCAGUUUGCAGGAAUAUUUUAUGGGCUCACCAGGCAACAAUCAGUGCACAUCGACCGUGCUUUAAGAGGUAAAACUUCAGAAUUGUAAUGUCUGAUUUAUAUUUUAACACAUACUAACUUUCAUGUACGUUUCAGGUCUGCUGAAUAUGCAAUUAACAGAAGAAGGAUGUCGGGACCUCAGAAGGUGGAUUUCUGCUGACAACACUAGUUAUCACUUCAUAUUAACCAUUGUUGCAGGAGAAGGAUUGUAUGUAGCAAUGAGAGGGCCGUUUAGAGGUGUGAAAGCCCGAUUUGAGAAUGGCAGGGUGACACCGAUUGAUGUUGAAAUAAUGAAUUAUCAUAUGGAUUACUCGAUUGGAGAAGCUGUUGUUGAGGAGGCCGACCGAUUUAUUAUCAUUGGUGCCGACAAUAUAUGGAAUGUGUUGGGUAACCAGGGAGUAGUGGAUUGUGUUCCACUUAGAGCCACUAGGUAAGCUUUGCAACUUAUUUAUAUGAAUAGGUGGUCUCAUUAAUUGACUGAUUAGUUCUAAUUUUGCUAUUUGUGUUGUUGUAGAAAGCUGCUGAGGUUGUUGUUAAGACGGCAUUGCGGGCUGCAGUUAAUCUGAGCUAUGACAUGUAUGCCAUCGUAAUCUACUUCCAUUAAGGUGAUAGACAAAACAGACAAAAUGAAUUUGUGUUUUUCUUGUUCCGAUGAACCCAGUUGGUCUUGUACCGGUACUAUUUGGGGUCACAUAAACGGCUGUGCUAAACAUUAAAUUUCCUUUUCUUAAUUAUUUUUAUGUACUUUGUUGUUGGAGAUAAAUUUUUGUUAUGUCAGCUAGAAAUGAAUUUCUUUCAACUACAUUUAAUCUAGCAGCAAACUCCAAACCUACAAUUUCUUUCCUAGAUUAUUAAACUUGGCCAGACCAAGAAAUGAAUUAGAAUUAACCAGAACAUUAGUUGCAAUUAACCAAGUGAUUUUAUAUUAUAUGGUAUUACUUAUUAAACAAAAAAUAUAAUUAGUUGAUUCUUUCUUGGCCUCAUUCAUUCGUGAAUACGUACAUUGUUUUCACAAAGUCUUGCAUUUGAGAAAUGCAAGGGGUAAUGAAUGUGAAUCGUAUUUUAGGCAAGAUGUUAGAAACAUACAGGUCAAGCCAAGGCCCCCAGAAAUUAAUAAUUUUCUAUCAAAGCAGGGUUAGGUUCAAAUUAGAACCAGAAAAAGCUAUUGAUGAUAAUGAUUUGGGUAAAAUAGUUUACUGUUUCUUUUAUCAAGUAUGUAUUAGUGCAAAAUAAAAGGAUGCUAAAAAAUGUUCAAAAUUAUAAAAAUAGAUCUUGGAUGAUUAAAAAAAAUAUGUUUAUAAAAUUUUUGACUUCAACAACCAAAAUGCUUUAAAAAAUACUCCCUCUGUCCCAGUCAAUUGUAUACGUUUCUUUUUCACUGCUCGACACGCUUUUUAAGGUUCUUAUAAAACAUAGUUCCACAACUUAUUUUUAAGAUUUUCCUUUUUUGUAUAAAAAUAUAAAUGUUAUACUUUUAUACAAAAAAAAGAAAAUCUUAAAAAUAAUUUACAGAAUUAUACUAUAUUGAAGCAUUAAAGUCCGUGCUGCGCCCCCGUCCCCCAAUGUAUACUAUUGACGGGGACGGAGGGAGUAUAUGUUUAUAAAUUUUUUUUACUACAACACCCAAAAUGAUUGCANGGGGACGGAGGGCAAAUCAUAUUUGUUGUUUUUGAAAUUUAGGAUUUCAUAUGUUAAUCUAAUAUGUUAAAACUUUAAAAUUUUCUCAACUUUUGAAAUUGAGGGAGAAUGAUACUCCGUUUGUAGUAUCAGCCAAUAGACAAUGGUAGACAGUGGGAUAAUUAGCGGUAAAUGGUUAUCUUUGUAAUAUUUAACUUGAGGUUUCUACUGCCAUCAUUCUCAAAACAUAGUGUUUUGACUAGUAAGCAUUUUAGCUUAUCUGUAAUCUUCUCUGUGUUUUCCUAAUCUUUUAAUACUUUCAAUGAAAAUUGUGGCUUUCUAAACAGGGCAAUGAGUCGGAUGAGGUGCUGGUAAAGUCAUCAUUCCUUGCGGAGCUACAGCGGCGUGUACUUAAAGCCGAGUCUGCUUUAAGAGUCAAGGAUGAAGAAAAUGACAUUCUUCACCAACGACUGCAACAAUACGAGAACCGCUGGUCCGAAUAUGAAGGAAAAAUGAAGUCAAUGGAAGAAGUAUGGCAGAAACAAAUGAGAUCAUUGCAGUCUAGUCUCUCCAUUGCAAAGAAGAGUCUAGCCCUCGAUGAAUCAGCGAGAAAUUCCGAUGCAUCAGUGAACGAUGAUAGAGACUCCAGCUGGGAAACAGGGAGUAAUUUCAGGAGUCGUGAGAGCAAUGGAGUGAGGCCAAUGAGUGCUGGUCUAAGUGUCAUAAGUAGAUUGGCUGAAGAGUUUGAUCAGAGGAGCCAAGUUUUUGGCGAUGAUGCAAAAUUCUUAGUUGAGGUGAAAUCAGGUCAGGUUGAUGCAAGCUUAAACCCUGAUCGAGAACUAAGAAGGCUGAAACAAAUUUUUGAAGGCUGGAAAAAGGAUUAUGGGGCAAGAUUAAGAGAAACCAAGGUGAUCUUGACCAAGCUAGGAUCUGAAGAAGGAUCUGGUGACAAGCUGAAAAAGAAAUGGUGGGGAAGGUUGAACAGCUCAAGGAUAAAUUAAUUUAAAAAUCCGUAAUUAUACUUUUCCGAUAUCUCAGCACCAACCAAUCUUCGCUUCUAGAGUUUGCAACACUCUUGCAAACAACUACAUUGCUAGUGACUAGAAUCUGUAUAUUGUUUGUCUUUCUCCUUUAGAUGGUUGAGAUCUGUUGGCAGAUUUGGUAAAGGUUAAGUCCAAUGUGUAGUAGCAUAUGAAUGAAACCUCUGAGAAUCUAACUAAUGUCAUAUGAAUACAUGCAAAUAGGACUUUGAAUAUUACAUGUACAUGUAGUUUUCAUGUGUUAUGUUGCUUUCAUCAUUUGAGAAAUGCAAG